CACGUAGGGACCAAGCGUUGUCCGGAUUCAUUGGGCGUAAAGAGCUCGUAGGCGGUUCGAUAAGUCGGGUGUGAAACCUCCAGGCUCAACCUGGAGACGCCACCCGAUACUGUCGUGACUAGAGUCCAGUAGGGGAGCGUGGAAUUCCUGGUGUAGCGGUGAAAUGCGCAGAUAUCUACAGGAACUCCGGUGGCGAAAGCGGCGUGCUGGACCUUUUCUGACGCUGAGGCGCGAAAGCUAGGGGAGCAAACGGG
rnacentral:rRNA from 1 species